rnacentral:rRNA from 1 species
UACGUAGGGGGCAAGCGUUGUCCGGAUUUAUUGGGCGUAAAGAGCGUGUAGGCGGCCAGGUAGGUCGGUUGUGAAAACUCGAGGCUCAACCUCGAGAUGUCGACCGAAACCAUCUGGCUAGAGUCCGGAAGAGGAGAAUGGAAUUCCCGGUGUAGCGGUGAAAAUGCGCAGAUAUCGGGAGGAACACCUAUGGCGAAGGCAGCUCGCUGGGACGUUACUGACGCUGAGGCGACGACGAAGCUAGGGGAGCAA